rnacentral:rRNA from 1 species
CCUGCCCAGUGACUAAGUUCAACGGCCGCGGUAUCCUAACCGUGCAAAGGUAGCAUAAUCACUUGCCCAUUAAUUGUGGGCUAGAAUGAAAGGACUAACGAAAUAGAAGCUGUCUCUAUAACUUUAAUAAAAAUUAAUCUCUAACUGAAGACUGUUAGAUAAAUUCGAAGGACAAGAAGACCCUAUAGAGCUUUAUUUAAAUGAGGAAAUUCCUCCCUAUAAUUCGGUUGGGGCGACCGGGGAAAAUAAAUAAUCAUCCCCUAAUAAAAGAUAAAUUAAUCACACUAAUGACCCUUAACCAAGAUCACAAGAACAAGCUACCUUAGGGAUAACAGGCUAAUCUCAUUAAAGAGUCCUUAUCAAUAAUGGGGGUUGGCACCUCGAUGUUGGCUUAGGGAAACUGUAUGGCGCAAAAGUCAUACAUAGAUGGUUUGUUCAACCAAUAAUACCCUACAUGAGCUGAGUUCAGACCGGCGUAAGCCAGGUUAGUUUCUAUCCUCGACAUAUACAACCUAUUUAUAGUACGAAAGGACCUAAAUAGGAUAAUAAUUAUAAAAAAAGAAUUUAUAUAAUAUAAAUUAAAACUCAACAACUAUAUACUA